rnacentral:rRNA from 1 species
GACAUUAGACGAAUCAUCUGGAAAGAUGAAUCAAAGAAGGUAAUAAUCCUGUAGUCGAAAAUGUUGUCUCUCUUGAGUGGAUCCUGAGUACGACGGAGCACGUGAAAUUCCGUCGGAAUCUGGGAGGACCAUCUCCUAAGGCUAAAUACUCUCUAGUGACCGAUAGUGAACCAGUACCGUGAGGGAAAGGUGAAAAGCACCCCGGAAGGGGAGUGAAAUAGAACCUGAAACCGUGUGCUUACAAGUAGUCAGAGCCCGUUAAUGGGUGAUGGCGUGCCUUUUGUAGAAUGAACCGGCGAGUUACGAUUUGAUGCAAGGUUAAGCAGUAAAUGUGGAGCCGUAGCGAAAGCGAGUCUGAAUAGGGCGUUUAGUAUUUGGUCGUAGACCCGAAACCAGGUGAUCUACCCUUGGUCAGGUUGAAGUUCAGGUAACACUGAAUGGAGGACCGAACCGACUUACGUUGAAAAGUGAGCGGAUGAACUGAGGGUAGCGGAGAAAUUCCAAUCGAACCUGGAGAUAGCUGGUUCUCUCCGAAAUAGCUUUAGGGCUAGCCUCAAGUGAUGAUUAUUGGAGGUAGAGCACUGUUUGGACGAGGGGCCCCUCUCGGGUUACCGAAUUCAGACAAACUCCGAAUGCCAAUUAAUUUAACUUGGGAGUCAGAACAUGGGUGAUAAGGUCCGUGUUCGAAAGGGAAACAGCCCAGACCACCAGCUAAGGUCCCAAAAUAUAUGUUAAGUGGAAAAGGAUGUGGCGUUGCCCAGACAACUAGGAUGUUGGCUUAGAAGCAGCCAUCAUUUAAAGAGUGCGUAAUAGCUCACUAGUCGAGUGACACUGCGCCGAAAAUGUACCGGGGCUAAACAUAUUACCGAAGCUGUGGAUUGUCCUUUGGACAAUGGUAGGAGAGCGUUCUAAGGGCGUUGAAGCAUGAUCGUAAGGACAUGUGGAGCGCUUAGAAGUGAGAAUGCCGGUGUGAGUAGCGAAAGACGGGUGAGAAUCCCGUCCACCGAUUGACUAAGGUUUCCAGAGGAAGGCUCGUCCGCUCUGGGUUAGUCGGGUCCUAAGCUGAGGCCGACAGGCGUAGGCGAUGGAUAACAGGUUGAUAUUCCUGUACCACCUAUAAUCGUUUUAAUCGAUGGGGGGACGCAGUAGGAUAGGCGAAGCGUGCGAUUGGAUUGCACGUCUAAGCAGUAAGGCUGAGUAUUAGGCAAAUCCGGUACUCGUUAAGGCUGAGCUGUGAUGGGGAGAAGACAUUGUGUCUUCGAGUCGUUGAUUUCACACUGCCGAGAAAAGCCUCUAGAUAGAAAAUAGGUGCCCGUACCGCAAACCGACACAGGUAGUCAAGAUGAGAAUUCUAAGGUGAGCGAGCGAACUCUCGUUAAGGAACUCGGCAAAAUGACCCCGUAACUUCGGGAGAAGGGGUGCUCUUUAGGGUUAACGCCCAGAAGAGCCGCAGUGAAUAGGCCCAAGCGACUGUUUAUCAAAAACACAGGUCUCUGCUAAACCGUAAGGUGAUGUAUAGGGGCUGACGCCUGCCCGGUGCUGGAAGGUUAAGAGGAGUGGUUAGCUUCUGCGAAGCUACGAAUCGAAGCCCCAGUAAACGGCGGCCGUAACUAUAACGGUCCUAAGGUAGCGAAAUUCCUUGUCGGGUAAGUUCCGACCCGCACGAAAGGCGUAACGAUUUGGGCACUGUCUCAACGAGAGACUCGGUGAAAUCAUAGUACCUGUGAAGAUGCAGGUUACCCGCGACAGGACGGAAAGACCCCGUGGAGCUUUACUG